rnacentral:rRNA from 1 species
CGUCUAUAUACGUAUAGCAUAUCAAUAAGCGGAGGAAAAGAAACUAACUAGGAUUCCCUCAGUAACGGCGAGUGAAGCGGGAAGAGCUCAAAUUUGAAAUCUUCAAGGUUCUACCUUGACGAAUUGUAGUUUAAAGAAGUGUUUUCUGUUGGAGUUUUGGUAAAAGUUCUUUGGAAUAGGACAUCAUAGAGGGUGAGAAUCCCGUAUUUGACCAUUAUUUCCAACUUUGUGAUACACUUUCAAAGAGUCGGAUUGUUUGGGAAUGCAGUCCAAAAUGGGUGGUAAAUUUCAUCUAAAGCUAAAUACUGGCGAGAGACCGAUAGCGAACAAGUACCGUGAGGGAAAGAUGAAAAGAACUUUGAAAAGAGAGUUAAACAGUACGUGAAAUUGUUAAAAGGGAAGCGUUUGACACCAGUGUUGUUUUCUCGAAAAUCAAUUAAAAAUGACCUGGAUUUUGUGUUGUAUUGACUUUAUCAGCUUUCUGCACUCUUUUCUUGUCUUUUUUAAUGCACUUUUCGUUUAACAAGUCAACAUCAAUUUCUUUUGUUGUAAAAGGGUCAUUGGAAGGUGGCUUUCCUUUCGGAUGAAAGUGUUUAUAGCCUUUGACUUCUGCAAUCGGAGAGAUUGAGGUCUGCAGCGUAGAUCCUUCGGGGUUAGAUACAUUUGUGCUAAGUUAUAGCCUUUCAUAGACAACUUGUUGACUAUGAUCAGUCAUGUAGCUUACUCGCUUAUGUCAUUUUACCUACGCUUAGGAUGUUGACGAUCAGCUGAGCGCG